GGACUAUCAUGUCGGUCGUGCCUCGGUACGUACUGGUAUUGUUGGUUUCUCCCUUCUGACGAACCAUGAUGUCAUUUAUUGGUGUUGUUGGGGAAUCAGGACUGUUACUUUGAAAAAAUUAGAGUGUUUAAAGCAGGCUCACGCUUGAAUACAUUAGCAUGGAAUAAUGAAAUAGGACGUUUGAUUCUAUUUUGUUGGUUUCUAGGAUCGACGUA
rnacentral:rRNA from 1 species